CCCUUAGAGUUUGAUCAUGGCUCAGAACGAACGCUGGCGGCAGGCCUAACACAUGCAAGUCGAGCGCACCUUCGGGUGAGCGGCGGACGGGUUAGUAACGCGUGGGAACAUACCCUUUUCUACGGAAUAGCCUCGGGAAACUGAGAGUAAUACCGUAUAAGCCCUUCGGGGGAAAGAUUUAUCGGGAAAGGAUUGGCCCGCGUUAGAUUAGAUAGUUGGUGGGGUAAUGGCCUACCAAGUCUACGAUCUAUAGCUGGUUUUAGAGGAUGAUCAGCAACACUGGGACUGAGACACGGCCCAGACUCCUACGGGAGGCAGCAGUGGGGAAUCUUAGACAAUGGGCGCAAGCCUGAUCUAGCCAUGCCGCGUGUGUGAUGAAGGUCUUAGGAUCGUAAAGCACUUUCGCCAGGGAUGAUAAUGGCAGUACCUGGUAAAGAAACCCCGGCUAACUCCGUGCCGGCAGCCGCGGUAAUACGGAGGGGGUUAGCGUUGUUCGGAAUUACUGGGCGUAAAGCGUACGUAGGCGGAUUGGAAAGUUGGGGGUGAAAUCCCAGGGCUCAACCCUGGAACUGCCUCCAAAACUAUCAGUCUAGAGUUCGAGAGAGGUGAGUGGAAUUCCAAGUGUAGAGGUGAAAUUCGUAGAUAUUUGGAGGAACACCAGUGGCGAAGGCGGCUCACUGGCUCGAUACUGACGCUGAGGUACGAAAGUGUGGGGAGCAAACAGGAUUAGAUACCCUGGUAGUCCACACCGUAAACGAUGAAUGCCAGUC
rnacentral:rRNA from 1 species